UCCUUUUGAUGUUUGCUACAUUAAUACAGGCAGCUGGUAAGAUGUACCAUCUCGCUUUGUGGACAGCUAAUGCUUUUAUAAAUAAUUUUUGAUUUUUUUAUGAUUGUUAAUGCAAAUGGAGUUUUUAAAGAUCAGAAUCAUUUGCUGGUGGAAAUGGUGUUAGUCGGAAGGUUUAAGAUGGUCAGAGGGUUUCAUCUUCGGCUUUAUAAAAUGAUGUUUGAUCUUAGUUGGCUGAUUAUUGGCAAUGAAGGCACCAUGGGUGUAAUGACAGCCGUAGCAUUGCGCCUUUUCAAAUUCCAUUGAAUCGUGUCGGUGCAAACAUUCGAUACUCAAAGGGUAUGGGCUAUUGGCCUAGCACAUAUUUUGGUGAUCACCAAAGGCUCUCAAAUACAAAAACAGAGGGUUGGUACAGAGAAGGUCGUGAUCUAGCUUGGAACUGGCUCAAGGUGAGUACAAUGUCAACUGCUGCAAGGAAGAGGCUAAUGAGAGAUUUCAAGAGGUUACAGCAGGAGGGUCCUGCAGGCGUUAGUGGAGCACCUAAAGACAACAAUAUAAUGGCAUGGAAUGGUGUGAUAUUCGGGUAACUAAUAAAUGAUAACAUAACUUUGGUACAGGAGUCGACAAGUAUCACAUGUCUCAUGGUCAGACAAAAAUUUAGAUGGUUUAUGUUUUAUUUCAUUAGGUAAUGUCAGAUUGAGGUGAUA